GUGCCAGCCGCCGCGGUAAUACAGGGGGUGCAAGCGUUGUUCGGAAUUACUGGGCGUAAAGCGCGGGCAGGUGGCCUUCUAAGUCCUUUGUGAAAUCCCGGGGCUCAACUCCGGAUGUGCAUAGGAUACUGGAAGGCUUGAGACAGGUAGAGGCGAGCGGAAUUCCUGGUGUAGCGGUGGAAUGCGUAGAUAUCAGGAAGAACACCGGUGGCGAAGGCGGCUCGCUGGGCCUGUUCUGACACUCAUCCGCGAAAGCGUGGGGAGCAAACAGGAUUAGAAACCCUCGUAGUCC
rnacentral:rRNA from 1 species